rnacentral:rRNA from 1 species
AAAUUGAAGAGUUUGAUCAUGGCUCAGAUUGAACGCUGGCGGCAGGCCUAACACAUGCAAGUCGAGCGGUAGCACAGAGAGCUUGCUCUCGGGUGACGAGCGGCGGACGGGUGAGUAAUGUCUGGGAAACUGCCUGAUGGAGGGGGAUAACUACUGGAAACGGUAGCUAAUACCGCAUAACGUCGCAAGACCAAAGUGGGGGACCUUCGGGCCUCAUGCCAUCAGAUGUGCCCAGAUGGGAUUAGCUAGUAGGUGGGGUAACGGCUCACCUAGGCGACGAUCCCUAGCUGGUCUGAGAGGAUGACCAGCCACACUGGAACUGAGACACGGUCCAGACUCCUACGGGAGGCAGCAGUGGGGAAUAUUGCACAAUGGGCGCAAGCCUGAUGCAGCCAUGCCGCGUGUGUGAAGAAGGCCUUCGGGUUGUAAAGCACUUUCAGCGGGGAGGAAGGCGUUAAGGUUAAUAACCUUGGCGAUUGACGUUACCCGCAGAAGAAGCACCGGCUAACUCCGUGCCAGCAGCCGCGGUAAUACGGAGGGUGCAAGCGUUAAUCGGAAUUACUGGGCGUAAAGCGCACGCAGGCGGUCUGUCAAGUCGGAUGUGAAAUCCCCGGGCUCAACCUGGGAACUGCAUUCGAAACUGGCAGGCUAGAGUCUUGUAGAGGGGGGUAGAAUUCCAGGUGUAGCGGUGAAAUGCGUAGAAAUCUGGAGGAAUACCGGUGGCGAAGGCGGCCCCCUGGACAAAGACUGACGCUCAGGUGCGAAAGCGUGGGGAGCAAACAGGAUUAGAUACCCUGGUAGUCCACGCCGUAAACGAUGUCGAUUUGGAGGUUGUGCCCUUGAGGCGUGGCUUCCGGAGCUAACGCGUUAAAUCGACCGCCUGGGGAGUACGGCCGCAAGGUUAAAACUCAAAUGAAUUGACGGGGGCCCGCACAAGCGGUGGAGCAUGUGGUUUAAUUCGAUGCAACGCGAAGAACCUUACCUGGUCUUGACAUCCACAGAACUUUCCAGAGAUGGAUUGGUGCCUUCGGGAACUGUGAGACAGGUGCUGCAUGGCUGUCGUCAGCUCGUGUUGUGAAAUGUUGGGUUAAGUCCCGCAACGAGCGCAACCCUUAUCCUUUGUUGCCAGCGGUCCGGCCGGGAACUCAAAGGAGACUGCCAGUGAUAAACUGGAGGAAGGUGGGGAUGACGUCAAGUCAUCAUGGCCCUUACGACCAGGGCUACACACGUGCUACAAUGGCAUAUACAAAGAGAAGCGACCUCGCGAGAGCAAGCGGACCUCAUAAAGUAUGUCGUAGUCCGGAUUGGAGUCUGCAACUCGACUCCAUGAAGUCGGAAUCGCUAGUAAUCGUAGAUCAGAAUGCUACGGUGAAUACGUUCCCGGGCCUUGUACACACCGCCCGUCACACCAUGGGAGUGGGUUGCAAAAGAAGUAGGUAGCUUAACCUUCGGGAGGGCGCUUACCACUUUGUGAUUCAUGACUGGGGUGAAGUCGUAACAAGGUAACCGUAGGGGAACCUGCGGUUGGAUCACCUCCUUACCUUAAAGAA